rnacentral:rRNA from 1 species
UGAGUACGAGAUGCUACGGCAUCGAAGCAGUCUAUGUCAUACUUCCAAGAAAAGCUUGCAAUGUCAUAAACAAAUAAUGCCUGUACCAUAACCGACACAGGUGGGUAGGUAGAGUAUACUAAGGGGCGCGAGAUAACUCUCUCUAAGGAACUCGGCAAAAUGACUCCGUAACUUCGGGAGAAGGAGUGCCUUAUUUUUAUAAGGUUGCAAUAACAAGAUCCAAGCAACUGUUUACCAAAAACACAGGUCUCCGCUAAGUCGUAAGACGAUGUAUGGGGGCUGACGCCUGCCCAGUGCCAGAAGGUUAAAGAAGUUGGUUAGCAUUAGCGAAGCUGAUAACUGAAGCCCUGGUGAACGGCGGCCGUAACAAUAACGGUCCUAAGGUAGCGAAAUUCCUUGUCGGGUAAGUUCCGACCCGCACGAAAGGCGUAAUGAUUUGGAUACUGUCUCGGAGAGGGGCUCGGUGAAAUAGACUUGUCUGUGAAGAUGCGGACUACCUGCACCUGGACAGAAAGACCCUAUGAAGCUUUACUGUAACUUGAGAUUGAAAUUGGACUUUAUCUGCGCAGUAUAGGUGGGAGACGUUGAAAAUAUUCUUGCGGGAAUAUUGGAGUCAUCAGUGAGAUACCACUCUUAUAAUGUUAGAUUUCUAACUUUGUAUCAUUAUCUGGUCAAAGAACAGUUUCAGGCGGGCAGUUUGACUGGGGCGGUCGCCUCCCAAACGGUAACGGAGGCGCACAAAGGUUUCCUCUGAACGUGUAGAAAUCGUAUCUAGAGUGUAAAGGCAUAAGGAAGCUUGACUGUGAGACCUACAAGUCGAGCAGGGACGAAAGUCGGUCUUAGUGAUCUGACGGUGCUGAGUGGAAAGGCCGUCACUCAACGGAUAAAAGUUACUCUAGGAUAACAGGCUGAUCUCCCCCAAGAGUUCACAUCGACGGGGAGGUUUGGCACCUCGAUGUCGGCUCAUCGCAUCCUGGGGCGGUAGUACGUCCCAAGGGUUGGGCUGUUCGCCCAUGAAAGCGGUACGCGAGCUGGGUUCAGAACGUCGUGAGACAGUUCGGUCCAUAUCCGGUGUAGGCGUUAGAAUAUUGAGAGGAGCCUUCUUUAGUACGAGAGGACCGAGAAGGACAUACCUCUGGUGUACCAGUUAUCGUGCCAACGGUAAACGCUGGGUAGCCAUGUAUGGAGAGGAUAACCGCUGAAAGCAUCUAAGUGGGAAGCCCACCUCAAGAUAAGUAUUCUCA